AAAGAAAAAUUUGUGGUUGAGAAAAUGAAAGUGAUGUUUAAUGCGUAGUUGUCUACAUGUAUAUUCAUAACCUUGUUCAGUGGAGUAUAAUUUAACAGAAUACUUGAGAAGCUUAGUUUGUUAGAGCAUCUCCAACCAUCUAAAACCCUUGGCUAAAAGAUGAGUUGGCUUACUUAAAAUAAAAAAAUUUAGCCAACAGCUCCAAAAACUCAACUCCAACCAUGCUCACCUGUUGUGUAUAAAUUUAGCCAAUCUCUUAUGGAUGGCUAAAUUUGUCGAACCUCUACAGGUCUGUAAGAAAAUCUGUAGGAAGAUUGUACAUCAUUUAUUACCAUAUUGAACUGAUAUAUUCUAUUUUAACAAUUUAAAAUAUUAAUAACAUACUAUUUUUAAAUUAUAGCCAACCAAUAUAGCCAGUACCAUUGAAACAAAAUGUCUUACAGGUUCAGCAAAUUUUACAUAAUGUCUUACAUGUCCAAUUUAGCCAACGAUUAUAGCCAACGCCGUUGGAGAUGCUCUUAGCAUUACAGAAAAUGUCUUUUUUGUUUCAAUUUUUCAUUUUCGAAGCAACAGCAGACUGGGAGAAAGAGAGAUAACUCGCAUCGUAUACUUAUCGAAAUCCCGGGUUUGAAUCUCAAACGAGGAAUUAAUGUCUGCGUCUGUUAUAAGUGAAGCAAUGAUUAUGAAUCCGAGUAACGUGACAUUGAUGGAUCAAUUAGAGCAAAUUGAAGUUGAAUUUGCUAACUGUGAUUGCUGUGGAUUGAAAGAGGAGUGUACAGUGGCGUACAUAGAGAGCAUUCGGGAGCGAUACGGAGGGAAAUGGAUAUGCGGAUUAUGUGCUGAGGCGGUGAAAUAUGAGAUGAGGAUUAUGAAUACGCAAGAGGAAGACGAGGCGUUGAUUCAGCACAUGAGUUUCUGUAACAAGUUUAGAUCAUCAACUCCGCCAGCAAAUCCAGCUGUGCUGCUUAUUUCAGCUAUGAGGAAUGUCAUAAGGCGGAGUUUGGAGUCACCGGGAUCCACCCCGAGGAGACUUGGAAGAGGAUUGAGUAGGUCGGGGAGUUUUGUUCCAGCUAUGUCGCGGAUUGAUUUUGAUGAAUCAUCGUCUCGUGCUGGUGGUGAAGAAGGAAGUGGAGAGAAGAUGGAGAUAAAUGUGUUGGAAGUUUAAGUUUAUUAGAUGAAAAAAGUUUAAAGGUUGGAUUUGUUCGAAGAACGUUUCCAGCCAAUUUAUCAGAGGUACUGAUCAAUAGAAGAACACGAAACUUUACUUGCAGCUUACUAGUGCUAGCAUAUAAAAAUUGUACAGUAGUAUGGGAGAGUUCUCUUAUCUCUGAUUCUACAACAAGAAUUAGUGUUUUACAGGACUCUUACAUUCAUGUUUUUGUUAAUGACUAUGCUCGAUCAAUGGAAGUUCAUGUCAUAA